AUACCAUGAUGUGGGUACUUUAUCAAUAACUCCUUGAACGUCUCCCAAGCAUCGCACAUCGACUCACCCUCAAAAUGUUUAAAAGAAAUAUUCUCAUUCUGAGUCU